CGCCCGCCUCCACCUCCGCCUCCGAACCGUUUCCGGGUCCGGUCGGCGCGGCCGGGAGGCGGAGGCGGGAUGAAUGCGGCGUGUGGCGGGACGGCGCGGACGCUGCGGGUGCCGGGCCGCCAUGGCUACGCCGCCGAGUUCUCGCCCUACCUGCCGGGCCGCCUGGCCUGCGCCACCGCGCAGCACUACGGCAUCGCGGGCUGUGGAACCCUAGUAGUAUUGGAUCAAAAAGAAUCCGAGCUGCAGCUUUUUAGAAGCUUUGACUGGAAUGAUGGUUUGUUUGAUGUGACCUGGAGUGAGAACAACGAACAUGUCCUCAUCACCUGCAGUGGUGACGGCUCGCUGCAGCUCUGGGACACCGCCAAAGCCACGGGGCCACUGCAGGUCUACAAGGAACACACGCAGGAGGUUUAUAGUGUUGAUUGGAGCCAAACAAGAGGUGAACAGCUUGUGGUGUCUGGUUCAUGGGAUCAAACCAUCAAACUGUGGGAUCCAAUGGUUGGAAAGUCACUGUGCACUUUUAGAGGCCAUGAAAGUGUCAUUUAUAGCACAAUCUGGUCUCCCCACAUCCCUGGUUGCUUUGCUUCAGCCUCAGGUGACCAGACCCUGAGAAUUUGGGAUGUGAAGGCAGUAGGAGUCAGAAUUGUGAUUCCGGCACAUCAGACAGAGAUUCUGAGUUGCGACUGGUGUAAAUACAAUGAGCAUUUGCUGGUGACGGGGGCAGUUGACUGCAGCCUGAGAGGCUGGGACGUCAGGAAUGUGCGGCAGCCGGUGUUCGCGCUUCUUGGCCACACCUAUGCCAUCAGGAGGGUGAAGUUUUCACCAUUUCAUGCUUCAGUGCUGGCCUCUUGUUCUUAUGAUUUUACUGUAAGAUUCUGGGACUUUUCCAAGCCUGCUCCCCUUCUUGAGACAGUGGAGCACCAUACCGAAUUUACUUGUGGCUUAGACUUAAGUCUCCACAGCCCCACUCAGGUGGUUGACUGUGCUUGGGAUGAAACGAUCAAGGUGUACGACCCUGCUAGCCUUGCUGUCCCUGCUUGAAAGACACUGCCGUAGUCCAAAACUAAGGGUGUGGCUGAAGGACGCUGUAACGGGAUAAAUGAAUUGUUGAUCACAUAGAUUUUAGGCUUUUAUGUGCUAUCCAGAUUGCAAGUUUUUAAAAUUUACCCCAGAAUCAUUUUUUGAGGCAGCUGAUUGAGACUUUGGUUCACCAUUAAAGCCUGGUACAUAAGGCAAUUUUUCUUAAAAUCCUAAGGAAUAACUGCUGUUAUGGUAUAGCCUGUAAUACCUAUUAAAAUGGAAUUCCCGUAUCGUGUAAUAGAUAAAAUAUGAGAGAUCAGUAGAUUAUAUUGAUGGUGAUAUAUUGCAUCUUUGUGAUUUGUAAUAUAAAAUAUAAUUGCUGCCGUUGAUAAAAUGAAAAACUGCAUCUCUUGAUCUUUUAUCACUGUAUGACAUCCCCACAAGAUGACUUUAUCUAACAUACUGUAUAUAAGAAUAUGAUACGCUAUGUAAUAUUGCUAUUGUAUGGUUCAGGAAUAGGUUUAUUUGUGCAUUUAUUCAGCAGUUACUUGAGCAUCUACUAUGUGCCUGAUGCAUAGAAUGAAUGAGAUUCUCUCAAGGGCUGGUGCCACACCACAGAAUAUGGAUGUUGUGAGCAGAGUUUUUAAUAUUUAUUCAAAUCUUUAAUGUAUUGUACCCAUGACCCUCUGUUCUCCCUCUUCCUGCUUCUCAGAUAUCAAAUUUUCACAAACUGUGCACUGAGCAAAAAGUCAAAGGUCCUACUACAGUUUCUAGCAAUUACCCUUGAAAUUUGCCCUAAUUAAUGCUGUAAACCCUCCUGCUACCUCCUUAUGUCUCCUUGAAAAAUCUCUAGGUGCUGAUGGACUAUAAAAAGUAGCAUAGAAGAGAAAAAUUAGUAAAGCAACUUAGCAUAACAUUUAUUUUCAGAUAAAAUUAAAAUGUUAUUAAAUGAAAAAUUGUAAUUGAUUUUUCAAUAAGGUUUUGAGAAUAUUUAAAGAGCAAAAUCAACAUGUAGUAAUCAGAGGAAUAAAUAAAUUAAAAUAUAUGUAUAUUGUCUUACCUUACAUAUUUCUUUGUUUAUUUAUUCCAGUAAAAGGUUAAGGCAGCUUACUAAAUACAGAAACAAGACAGCGUAGGUCAAAAGGUGGAACACAGGAGAAUGCAGUGGAGCCAGGAGUGGGGCUGGAACACGUGUACCACAAGUCAUAAAAAUCUGCUGCAGGUUGGGCCAAAGUCCUGCUGUUCAGGUUUCUCGCAGCUUAACGGGACAGCUGGCCGGCUACCCCGCUCGGUGCCCGCAGCCUGAGGGCAAGGACUGCGCCCCAGGCCUGGCACAUAGACGGUGCUCAGUAAAUGCUUGUUGACUGAAUGAGUGAUCUCAGGGUGAGUUUGCUCCUCAGAUCAGUCAAUGCCCCAUAAAGAGGACGCUCUGCUUCACCUGAGUGUAUGGUAAUGAACAGGUGCUGGUUGGAGUUGUCACAGCCGUGAGGUCCAAGAGCUGUGUCUUGUUGCUUCCUCGGUGGGAGCCAAGGGUAUCAUGCAAGAGUGUGAGAAGUCAACACUGGCUCGCAGUGCAUGAAUGCAUGUUCUCCACACCAGAGAAUUAACAAUGGACCUUUUAGCAUACCCAACCCUGAUCCUAUUUACAGUGAAUCAUACAUUUUCCUCCUAGAAUGCAAGGGGUUUUAUUAAUAAAACAACUACACAUGUAUCUUUUGAAACAAAUACAUGUGAUAUAAAAACCAACAUCUCCCUCAAUUUCUUCCGUUUCAGUCAGGGAUGUCAGAGGUGUUUAGAACACUGGCUGCACAAUCCUUACCCCAGCUCCAUGGAGUCUGCAAGUCUGAAAUGUGUGGGUGACCCGGAUCGAGUUGGUUUCCCGAGUUGAAUUGGAAAACCAGGAGAAAGGGAGCUGGAUUUCCUCCUGAAAGAGAAUCCCUGGGCGUUUCCAGUUCCUGGUAGCUGACAAGCUAAGCAGCUCCUGGGCUUCAGAGGACAACCUGUUAUCCCCCUUGGGCAGCUUCCUGAGUGGCAUGUCAGGUUCCGGUCCAGCGUCCUCAGAGCCACCUCCUCGGCACAGCUGCCAGAGACUGACCUCACACGCCCUGUGAUUACAUCAAUUUCGGUGUAAAACCUUCCUCUGCUGAGAGGACUGCCUCCAGGAAAGAGUUCACACUCCCGGGCCAGGCAGCCAGGGUCCUUCGGGGGUCAGCUCCUGCCUUAUUCCGCUGCCUUCCGUCUCUGCUCUCUGCCCUGCACUUGGUGCUCCAGCAGCACCAGCCUGCUCGCCAGCUCCCCGGGGAAAUAACGCAGGUUUUCAUCUCUCUAUCCAUGCUCAAGCCAGUCCAUGUGCCUGGAUUGCCCUGAUCUUGGCAAAUCCUUACCCAUCAUUUACAAGUCACUUCCCCACAGGACAUGACUAAAGAAAGAGAUUGACAGCACACAAAAUUUAAAAUAGCACAACAUGCCAUUUGCAAAGUUAAAAGACAAGCUAUUGGGAGGAUAUAUUUGCAAAAUCUGUAACAUGAUUAACACCCCAGUAAACAUCUCACAGAAGUAGAAAUGCAAAUGCUUAAUACACUUCAAAAUGAUGCUCAGACAGACUUUGUCUCACGGAUGAUAAGGAAAUGCAAAUUAAAGUGAGAUCCCACUUUUUGUCUUAUUAGUUUGGUAAAAAAUUUAAAUAUCAGUAAUAUCCAGUAUUGGUCAAAGUGAGGGCACUGCUAUACACCUUUUCAGAAGGCAGUUUGGUAAUGAAUCAAGAUUUAGAAGUACCUUUUUACCCAGCAGUUUCACUUUUAGGAUUCCCUGCCCCUCCCCAAAACAGUACUUUUAGAAAUGGGUAAAAAUAAAUGUCCAAGAACAUUCAUUAAAACCUUUUUUGGCAAUAACCUAAAUUCCUAAAGGCUAUACUUUAAAAUAGUCCUUUAAAAGAAAGAGAGCUGUGUGUCCUGACAUUGAACUCACCCCAUUGUUCUUGAUAUGUGUAUUAGUUACCUAUUGCUGCAUAACAAAUCACACCAAACUUAGCAGCUUAAAAGAACAAAUGUUUAUUAUCUUUCAGUUUCUAUGAGUCAGGAAUCUGGGAAUGGCACAGCUGGGGGUUCUGACUCUGGGUCUCUCAUGAGGUUGCUGUCAGCCUGUCUGCGGGGGCUGCUGUCUUUUCAGACUAAACUGGGGCCACAUCCAUGGUUUGGGGCAGGCCUCACUUUCUCACGAUACAGGACUCUCUCCAGGCUGAGUGUCCCCAAAACACAGCCUCUGGCUUCCCCCAGACUAAGUGAUCUGAGAGAGAGAAAUCCAAGAAGAAAGCCUCUGUCUCUUAUAAUCUAACAUCAGAGUCAACGUACCAUCACUUCUCCAUGUUCUAUCUACUGUCCACACGCACCGAGGACAGUGUGGGUGGGCUAACACAGGAGUGAGGACCAGAGGCAGGAAACCAAUGGGGAGCCAUCUUGGAGGCUGGCUGCCAUGAUAUACUGUUAAAAAUAGCAUAUUACAGACAAAUGUGUAUGGAAUCCUAAUUUUGCUUAAAAACAGAGGUGGAGGGAGGUGUAUGUGUGUAUAAACGAAUAAACACACACACACACACACAGAGGAGCCUGAAAAGUUCCAACCAAACUCUCCAUAGUAGCAAGCAC